rnacentral:rRNA from 1 species
UCCAGAGAAUUUAGCAGAGAUGCUUUAGUGCCUUCGGGAACUCUGAGACAGGUGCUGCAUGGCUGUCGUCAGCUCGUGUUGUGAAAUGUUGGGUUAAGUCCCGNAACGAGCGCAACCCUUAUCCUUUGUUGCCAGCACGUAAUGGUGGGAAACUCAAAGGAGACUGCCGGUGAUAAACCGGAGGAAGGUGGGGAUGACGUCAAGUCAUCAUGGCCCUUACGAGUAGGGCUACACACGUGCUACAAUGGCGCAUACAAAGAGAAGCGACCUCGCGAGAGCAAGCGGACCUCAUAAAGUGCGUCGUAGUCCGGAUUGGAGUCUGCAACUCGACUCCAUGAAGUCGGAAUCGCUAGUAAUCGUAAAUCAGAAUGUUACGGUGAAUACGUUCCCGGGCCUUGUACACACCGCCCGUCACACCAUGGGAGUGGGUUGCAAAAGAAGUAGAUAGCUUAACCUUCGGGAGGGCGUUUACCACUUUGUGAUUCAUGACUGGGGUGAAGUCGUAACAAGGUAAGCGUAGUGCU